ACAUGCACAAACGGACACUUAGGA
rnacentral:piRNA from 1 species